rnacentral:rRNA from 1 species
UACACUCCUGCGGGAGGCAGCAGUGGGGAAUAUUGCACAAUGGGCGCAAGCCUGAUGCAGCGACGCCGCGUGGGGGAUGAAGGCCUUCGGGUUGUAAACUCCUUUCGCUAGGGACGAAGCUUUUUUGUGACGGUACCUAGAUAAGAAGCACCGGCUAACUACGUGCCAGCAGCCGCGGUAAUACGUAGGGUGCGAGCGUUGUCCGGAAUUACUGGGCGUAAAGGGCUCGUAGGUGGUUUGUCGCGUCGUCUGUGAAAUUCUGGGGCUUAACUCCGGGCGUGCAGGCGAUACGGGCAUAACUUGAGUGCUGUAGGGGUAACUGGAAUUCCUGGUGUAGCGGUGAAAUGCGCAGAUAUCAGGAGGAACACCGAUGGCGAAGGCAGGUUACUGGGCAGUUACUGACGCUGAGGAGCGAAAGCAUGGGUAGCGAACAGGAUUAGAAACCCCAGUAGUCCCA